ACCUAAUUAACUCAGUGGUUAGAGUAUCGCUUUCAUACGUUGGAUGCCGUUGGUUCAAAUUUCAUAUUAGGU
rnacentral:tRNA from 1 species